rnacentral:rRNA from 1 species
AGUGAACGCUGGCGGCGUGCUUAACACAUGCAAGUCGAACGAGAACGGAUUAUAGCUUGCUAUAAUUGUCAGCUAAGUGGCGCACGGGUGAGUAAUGUAUAGGUAAUAUGCCUCUUACUAAGGGAUAACAAAUGGAAACGUUUGCUAAUACCUUAUACUCCUUAUUAACAGAAGUUAAUAAGGGAAAGAUUUAUUGGUAAGAGAUUAGCCUGUAUUGUAUCAGUUAGUUGGUGGGGUAAUGGCUUACCAAGACUAUGACACAUAACUGGUUUGAGGGGAUGAUCAGUAACACUGGAACUGGGAAACGGUCCAGACUCCUACGGGAGGCAGCAGUGGGGAAUAUUGCACAAUGGACGAAAGUCUGAUGCAGCAACGCCGCGUGGAGGAUGACACAUUUCGGUGCGUAAACUCCUUUUAUAUGAGAAGAUAAUGACGGUAUUAUAUGAAUAAGCACCGGCUAACUCCGUGCCAGCAGCCGCCGUAA